rnacentral:rRNA from 1 species
CCUACGGGAGGCAGUAGUGGGGGAUAUUGCACAAUGGGGGGAACCCUGAUGCAGCGACGCCGCGUGGGUGAAGGCGUAUUUCGGUAUGUAAAGCCCUAUCGGCAGGGAAGAAUUUAGACGGUACCUGACUAAGAAGCCCCGGCUAACUACGUGCCAGCAGCCGCGGUAAUACGUAGGGGGCAAGCGUUAUCCGGAUUCACUGGGUGUAAAGGGAGCGUAGACGGCCAGGCAAGCCUGGAGUGAAAGCCCGGGGCCCAACCCCGGGACUGCUCUGGGAACUGUCCGGCUGGAGUGCGGGAGGGGCAGGCGGAAUUCCUGGUGUAGCGGUGAAAUGCGUAGAUAUUAGGAGGAACACCAGUGGCGAAGGCGGCUUACUGGACUGUAACUGACGUUGAGGCUCGAAAGCGUGGGGAGCAAACAGGAUUAGAUACCCCAGUAGUC